rnacentral:rRNA from 1 species
CGCGGCCUAUCAGCUUGUUGGUGAGGUAAUGGCUCACCAAGGCGACGACGGGUAGCCGGCCUGAGAGGGUGAUCGGCCACACUGGGACUGAGACACGGCCCAGACUCCUACGGGAGGCAGCAGUGGGGAAUAUUGCACAAUGGGCGAAAGCCUGAUGCAGCGACGCCGCGUGGGGGAUGACAGUCUUCGGAUUGUAAACCCCUUUCAGUAGGGACGAAGCGCAAGUGACGGUACCUGCAGAAGAAGCACCGGCCAACUACGUGCCAGCAGCCGCGGUAAUACGUAGGGUGCGAGCGUUGUCCGGAAUUACUGGGCGUAAAGAGCUCGUAGGCGGUUUGUCACGUCGUCUGUGAAAUCCUCCAGCUUAACUGGGGGCGUGCAGGCGAUACGGGCAGACUUGAGUACUACAGGGGAGACUGGAAUUCCUGGUGUAGCGGUGAAAUGCGCAGAUAUCAGGAGGAACACCGGUGGCGAAGGCGGGUCUCUGGGUAGUAACUGACGCUGAGGAGCGAAAGCAUGGGUAGCGAACAGGAUUAGAUACCCUGGUAGUCCAUGCCGUAAACGGUGGGCGCUAGGUGUGGGGUCCUUCCACGGACUCCGUGCCGUAGCUAACGCAUUAAGCGCCCCGCCUGGGGAGUACGG